AGUGAACGCUGGCGGUAGGCCUAACACAUGCAAGUCGAACGGCAGCACAGUAAGAGCUUGCUCUUACGGGUGGCGAGUGGCGGACGGGUGAGGAAUACAUCGGAAUCUACUUUUUCGUGGGGGAUAACGUAGGGAAACUUACGCUAAUACCGCAUACGACCUACGGGUGAAAGCAGGGGAUCUUCGGACCUUUCGCGAUUGAAUGAGCCGAUGUCGGAUUAGCUAGUUGGCGGGGUAAAGGCCCACCAAGGCGACGAUCCGUAGCUGGUCUGAGAGGAUGAUCAGCCACACUGGAACUGAGACACGGUCCAGACUCCUACGGGAGGCAGCAGUGGGGAAUAUUGGACAAUGGGCGCAAGCCUGAUCCAGCCAUACCGCGUGGGUGAAGAAGGCCUUCGGGUUGUAAAGCCCUUUUGUUGGGAAAGAAAAGCAGCAGGUUAAGACCCCGCUGUUCGGACGGUACCCAAAGAAUAAGCACCGGCUAACUUCGU
rnacentral:rRNA from 1 species